rnacentral:rRNA from 1 species
AACGAACGCUGGCGGCGCGCUUAACACAUGCAAGUCGAACGAGAAGGCGUAGCAAUACGCUUGUAAAGUGGCGAACGGGUGAGGAAUACAUGGGUAACCUACCCUCGAGUGGGGGAUAACCCGCCGAAAGGCGGGCUAAUACCGCGUACGCUUCCGAUCUUGCGGGAUCGGAAGGAAAGCUGUCCCUUGGGGAUGGCGCUCAAGGAUGGGCUCAUGUCCUAUCAGCUUGUUGGUAGGGUAACGGCCUACCAAGGCAUCGACGGGUAGCUGGUCUGAGAGGACGAUCAGCCACACUGGCACUGCGACACGGGCCAGACUCCUACGGGAGGCAGCAGUGAGGAAUAUUGCGCAAUGGGCGAAAGCCUGACGCAGCGACGCCGCGUGGGGGAUGAAGGUCUUCGGAUUGUAAACCCCUUUCGGGUGGGAAGACGGCCCUAGACAACUAGGGCGGACGGUACCGCCGAGAAGCAGCCACGGCUAACUUCGUGCCAGCCGCCGCGGU